rnacentral:rRNA from 1 species
GAUGAACGCUGGCGGCGUGCCUAAUACAUGCAAGUCGAGCGAACAGACGAGGAGCUUGCUCCUCUGACGUUAGCGGCGGACGGGUGAGUAACACGUGGAUAACCUACCUAUAAGACUGGGAUAACUUCGGGAAACCGGAGCUAAUACCGGAUAAUAUAUUGAACCGCAUGGUUCAAUAGUGAAAGACGGUUUUGCUGUCACUUAUAGAUGGAUCCGCGCCGCAUUAGCUAGUUGGUAAGGUAACGGCUUACCAAGGCGACGAUGCGUAGCCGACCUGAGAGGGGGAUGGGCCCCACGGGAACUGAGCCGCGCACCGGACUCCGACGGGAGGCGGGAGAGGGAAAUCUUCCACAGGGGGCGAAGGUUGGAGGGACCACCGCGGCGUGAGUAAAAAAGGUCUUGGGAUCUUAAACCUUUUUUAUGAGGAAAAAAAAAAUGUAUAAGUAAAUUGGCCCUUCUUGACGUACCUAAAUAAAAAGCCCGCGACAACCUCGGGG